rnacentral:rRNA from 1 species
AGAGUUUGAUCCUGGCUCAGGAUAAACGCUGGCGGCGCACAUAAGACAUGCAAGUCGAACGGAAGUCGUUAUAAAAAGAGAGAAGAUUUAUCGGAUUGAAUUUUAUAACAAUGGCUUUAGUGGCGGACUGGUGAGUAACGCGUAAGGAACCUACCUAUUAGAGGGGAACAACAAUGAGAAAUCAUUGCUAAUACCGCAUAUGCCAUAACUGCCGCAUGGUAGAAGUGGGAAAGGAGUAAUCCGCUGAUAGAUGGCCUUGCGUCUGAUUAGUUAGUUGGUGGGGUAACGGCCUACCAAGACGACGAUCAGUAGCCGGACUGAGAGGUUGAACGGCCACAUUGGGACUGAGAUACGGCCCAGACUCCUACGGGAGGCAGCAGUCGGGAAUAUUGCGCAAUGGAGGAAACUCUGACGCAGUGACGCCGCGUGCAGGAAGAAGGUUUUCGGAUUGUAAACUGCUUUAGACAGGGAAGAACAAAGACAGUACCUGUAGAAUAAGCUCCGGCUAACUACGUGCCAGCAGCCGCGGUAAUACGUAGGGAGCGAGCGUUAUCCGGAUUUAUUGGGUGUAAAGGGUGCGUAGACGGGAAUACAAGUUAGUUGUGAAAUACCUCGGCUUAACUGAGGAACUGCAACUAAAACUAUAUUUCUUGAGUACAGGAGAGGUAAGUGGAAUUCCUAGUGUAGCGGUGAAAUGCGUAGAUAUUAGGAGGAACACCAGUGGCGAAGGCGACUUACUGGACUGAAACUGACGUUGAGGCACGAAAGUGUGGGGAGCAAACAGGAUUAGAUACCCUGGUAGUCCACACCGUAAACGAUGAUUACUAGGUGUGGGGGGACUGACCCCUUCCGUGCCGGAGUUAACACAAUAAGUAAUCCACCUGGGGAGUACGGCCGCAAGGUUGAAACUCAA